GACGAACGCUGGCGGCGUGCUUAACACAUGCAAGUCGAACGGAAAGGCCCUGCUUUUGUGGGGUGCUCGAGUGGCGAACGGGUGAGUAACACGUGAGUAACCUGCCCUUGACUUUGGGAUAACUUCAGGAAACUGGGGCUAAUACCGGAUAGGGGCUCCUGCUGCAUGGUGGGGGUUGGAAAGUUUCGGCGGUUGGGGAUGGACUCGCGGCUUAUCAGCUUGUUGGUGUGGUAGUGGCUUACCAAGGCUUUGACGGGUAGCCGGCCUGAGAGGGUGACCGGCCACAUUGGGACUGAGAGACGGCGCAGACGGCAACGGGCGGCAGCAGUGGGGAAUAUUGCACAAUGGGCGGAAGCCUGAUGCAGCAACGCCGCGUGCGGGAUGACGGCCUUCGGGGUGUAAACCGCUUUCGCCUGUGACGAAGCGUGAGUGACGGUAAUGGGUAAAGAAGCACCGGCUAACUACGUG
rnacentral:rRNA from 1 species